GAUCAUGGCUCGGGAUGAACGCUAGCUACAGGCUUAACACAUGCAAGUCGAGGGGCAGCGGGAUUGAAGCUUGCUUCAAUUGCCGGCGACCGGCGCACGGGUGAGUAACGCGUAUCCAACCUUCCGUACACUCAGGGAUAGCCUUUCGAAAGAAAGAUUAAUACCUGAUGGUAUGAUGAGAUUGCAUGGUAUCAUCAUUAAAGAUUUAUCGGUGUACGAUGGGGAUGCGUU
rnacentral:rRNA from 1 species